rnacentral:misc_RNA from 1 species
GAUGAAGAACGUAGCGAAAUGCGAUAAGUAGUGUGAAUUGCAGAAUUCAGUGAAUCAUCGAAUCUUUGAACGCACAUUGCGCCCCUUGGUAUCCCGAGGGGCAUGCCUGUUCGAGCGUCAUUUCACCACUCAAGCCUGGCUUGGUGUUGGGCGACGUCCCCUUUGGGGACGCGCCUCGAAACGCUCGGCGGCGUGGCACCGGCUUUAAGCGUAGCAGAAUCUUUCGCUUUGGAAGUCGGGGCCCCGUCUGCCGGAAGACCUACUCGCAAGGUUGACCUCGGAUCAGACAGGGAUACCCGCUGAACUUAAGCAUAUCAAUAAGCGGAGGA